AGGAAUCUGGUGUGGAUGCCAGUGUAUAUGCCAUAUCGCAAGCGGCAGAGCUGGAGGAGGUUUAUGUACAGUUGCAGACGGCCAAGGAACUCUUGAAUGCAUUGAGUGAAACCUAUUACAAUAUUGAGGAAGUACUCCCCGACCUGGUGGAUCAUGCAAAUAAAUUAAUGGGUUUGUACAAACCACA